rnacentral:rRNA from 1 species
GGUGAGUAACACGUGGGUAACCUACCCAUAAGACUGGGAUAACUCCGGGAAACCGGGGCUAAUACCGGAUAAUAUUUUGAACUGCAUAGUUCGAAAUUGAAAGGCGGCUUCGGCUGUCACUUAUGGAUGGACCCGCGUCGCAUUAGCUAGUUGGUGAGGUAACGGCUCACCAAGGCGACGAUGCGUAGCCGACCUGAGAGGGUGAUCGGCCACACUGGGACUGAGACACGGCCCAGACUCCUACGGGAGGCAGCAGUAGGGAAUCUUCCGCAAUGGACGAAAGUCUGACGGAGCAACGCCGCGUGAGUGAUGAAGGCUUUCGGGUCGUAAAACUCUGUUGUUAGGGAAGAACAAGUGCUAGUUGAAUAAGCUGGCACCUUGACGGUACCUAACCAGAAAGCCACGGCUAACUACGUGCCAGCAGCCGCGGUAAUACGUASGUGGCAAGCGUUAUCCGGAAUUAUUGGGCGUAAAGCGCGCGCAGGUGGUUUCUUAAGUCUGAUGUGAAAGCCCACGGCUCAACCGUGGAGGGUCAUUGCAAACUGGGAGACUUGAGUGCAGAAGAGGAA